GGGCGUUAAGUUGCAGGGUAUAGACCCGAAACCCGGUGAUCUAGCCAUGGGCAGGUUGAAGGUUGGGUAACACUAACUGGAGGACCGAACCGACUAAUGUUGAAAAAUUAGCGGAUGACCUGUGGCUGGGGGUGAAAGGCCAAUCAAACCGGGAGAUAGCUGGUUCUCCCCGAAAGCUAUUUAGGUAGCGCCUCGUGAAUUCAUCUCCGGGGGUAGAGCACUGUUUCGGCUAGGGGGCCAUCCCGGCUUACCAACCCGAUGCAAACUGCGAAUACCGGAGAAUGUUAUCACGGGAGACACACGGCGGGUGCUAACGUCCGUCGUGAAGAGGGAAACAACCCAGACCGCCAGCUAAGGUCCCAAAGUCAUGGUUAAGUGGGAAACGAUGUGGGAAGGCCCAGACAGCCAGGAUGUUGGCUUAGAAGCAGCCAUCAUUUAAAGAAAGCGUAAUAGCUCACUGGUCGAGUCGGCCUGCGCGGAAGAUGUAACGGGGCUAAACCAUGCACCGAAGCUGCGGCAGCGACGU
rnacentral:rRNA from 1 species